rnacentral:rRNA from 1 species
GACGAACGCUGGCGGCGUGCUUAACACAUGCAAGUCGAACGAUGAACCGCUUUCGGGCGGGGAUUAGUGGCGAACGGGUGAGUAACACGUGGGCAAUCUGCCCUGCACUCUGGGACAAGCCCUGGAAACGGGGUCUAAUACCGGAUAUGACCGUCUGCCGCAUGGUGGAUGGUGUAAAGCUCCGGCGGUGCAGGAUGAGCCCGCGGCCUAUCAGCUUGUUGGUGAGGUAGUGGCUCACCAAGGCGACGACGGGUAGCCGGCCUGAGAGGGCGACCGGCCA